UACAGAGGGUGCAAGCGUUAAUCGGAAUUACUGGGCGUAAAGCGUGCGUAGUCGGUUAUCUAAGUCGGGUGUGAAAUCCCCGGGCUCAACCUGGGAAUUGCAUUCGAUACUGGAUAGCUAGAGUUCGGCAGAGGGAAGCGGAAUUUCGGGUGUAGCGGUGAAAUGCGCAGAUAUCAGGAGGAACACCAAUUGCGAAGGCAGCUCGCUGGGACGUUACUGACGCUGAGACGCGAAAGCGUGGGGAGCAAACAGG
rnacentral:rRNA from 1 species